ensembl:lncRNA
GUUAUCUAAUCUAAUAUUGUGAUAAUUUUCUGACUUCAUGGAAUCCUAUGCUAUAAUUGAAUAAUGCAGGAAUGCAAUGCCCGUUUUUAAGUUUUAACAUUUUAGCAACUUAUUCAGUUAUCACAGAUAUGCUGCUGCAUAGCAUGUAUUGUGAAUGAUUACGGUGUGUGCAGUCUGUGUGCAAUGAAGGUUGUGUGUGUGUGUGUGUGUGUGUGUGUGUGUGUGUGUGUGUGGUGUGUGGUGUGUGUUUGCUUGGAUGGUUGUGUUUAUGCUUGUAGAAUGACUGCAUGGAGGAGGGGUCCAGUAGCAGUAUAAUCUUUGAACAUUGUUUAAUUGGUUUCUUUUAACCAAAGCCAGCACCGGUUUCUGUGUGCUGGCUGCCUGUUCCUGUAAGCAAGCAGAAGUACUACUACAGGCAGGUCUUUGGUGCAGUUCUGAAUAUGCAUAUUUUUCUCACUGACACUCCCCCAUUUCACUCUUUACUCUUGCUCCCCAUAUUCACUCCCUCCCUAUCUCUCUCCCCAUCUCUUCACUCCCCUUCUUCUCUCUCUCCCUCCCCCUCCUACCUCUUUCAUUCUCUCCCCCGCCCCUUUACUGUUCAGUUGCUCACUAGGCAAAAAAAAAAAAAAAGUCUGUGUGUUUCCAUAGCAACACUGACCUCACGCUGUGACAGGCGAUCUGGGCCGGUUGCCAUGGUGAUCUGCUGUGACAUCAAACUUGAGCCUCUUGUUGCCAUGGUACCACACCUACUGGCUCAGCAGCAGCUAUUUCAGUGCUCCGCUUUGAGCCAAAGUUACAAUGUUCCAGUUUUUACACAACGCCAUAUUGUGUUCUGUGUUCUCAUUCUUUCCAUCUCUUCAUGUUCAGUAGGCUGUAGUUGUCUACAUGCAGGCAAAGAGCUGUGUUAUGACUGUGGUGGCUUGUCUCUCAUUUAUAGGAGUACUUACUACGUACGACCUCAGUAAUGUAGAUGUAAUGGGAUUAUAUGAUCACUGUCUGGACUGUAUCCUCAUUACAUCAGUCGCUGGUAGACCGUCUGGGUGUCUGGUAGAGCAAAUGAUGGUACAUUUGCGCUGUUUGUGUG